AUUGAACGCUGGCGGCAGGCCUAACACAUGCAAGUCGAACGAGUGGCGGACGGGUGAGUAAUGUCUGGGAAACUGCCUGAUGGAGGGGGAUACUUACUGGAAACGGUAGUUAAUACCGCAUACCAUUGGAUGCGCCCAGAUGGGAGUAGCCAGUAGGUGGGGUAAAGGCUCACCUAGGCGAAGAUCCCUAGCUGGUCUGAGAGGAUGACCGGCCACACUGGAACUGAGACACGGUACAGACUCCUACGGGAGGCAGCAGUAGGGAAUAUUGCACAAUUGGCGCAAGCCUGAUGCAGCCAUGCCGCGUGUAUGAAGAAGGCCUUCGGGUUGUAAAGUACUUUCAGCGGGGAGGCGUUACCCGCAGAAGAAGCACCGGCUAAUUCCGUGCCAGCAGCCGCGGUAAUUC
rnacentral:rRNA from 1 species